GACGAACGCUGGCGGCGUGCCUAAUACAUGCAAGUAGAACGCUGAAGAGAGGAGCUUGCUCUUCUUGGAUGAGUUGCGAACGGGUGAGUAACGCGUAGGUAACCUGCCUUGUAGCGGGGGAUAACUAUUGGAAACGAUAGCUAAUACCGCAUAACAAUGGAUGACACAUGUCAUUUAUUUGAAAGGGGCAAUUGCUCCACUACAAGAUGGACCUGCGUUGUAUUAGCUAGUAGGUGAGGUAAUGGCUCACCUAGGCGACGAUACAUAGCCGACCUGAGAGGGUGAUCGGCCACACUGGGACUGAGACACGGCCCAGACUCCUACGGGAGGCAGCAGUAGGGAAUCUUCGGCAAUGGGGGCAACCCUGACCGAGCAACGCCGCGGGAGUGAAGAAGGUUUUCGGAUCGUAAAGCUCGGUUGUAAGUCAAGAACGGGUGUGAGAGUGGAAAGUUCACACUGUGACGGUAGCUUACCAGAAAGGGACGGCUAACUACGUG
rnacentral:rRNA from 1 species